rnacentral:rRNA from 1 species
AUUGAACGCUGGCGGCAGGCCUAACACAUGCAAGUCGAGCGGAGCGGCGGACGGGGGAGUAAUGCCUAGGAAUCUGCCUGGUAGUGGGGGAUAACGUCCGGAAACGGGCGCUAAUACCGCAUACUAUCAGAUGAGCCUAGGUCGGAUUAGCUAGUUGGUGGGGUAAAGGCCUACCAAGGCAACGAUCCGUAACUGGUCUGAGAGGAUGAUCAGUCACACUGGAGCUGAGACUCGGUCCAGACUCCAACGGUAGGCAGCAGUGGGGAAUGUUGGACGAUGGGAGAAGUCCUAAUCCAGCCAUGCCGCGUAUGUGAAGAAGGUCUUCGGAUUGUGAAGCACUUUAAGUUGGGAGGCGUUACCAACAGAAUAAGCACCGGCUAACUUCGUGCCAGCAGCCGCGGUAAUAC